AUUGAACGCUGGCGGCAUGCUUUACACAUGCAAGUCGAACGGCAGCGCGGGCUUCGGCCUGGCGGCGAGUGGCGAACGGGUGAGUAAUAUAUCGGAACGUACCCAAGAGUGGGGGAUAACGUAGCGAAAGUUACGCUAAUACCGCAUACGAUCUAAGGAUGAAAGCAGGGGAUCGCAAGACCCUGUGCUCCUGGAGCGGC
rnacentral:rRNA from 1 species